rnacentral:rRNA from 1 species
GACGAACGCUGGCGGCGUGCUUAACACAUGCAAGUCGAACGGAAAGGCCAUGCUUUUGUGGGGUGCUCGAGUGGCGAACGGGUGAGUAACACGUGAGUAACCUGCCCUUGACUUUGGGAUAACUUCAGGAAACUGGGGCUAAUACCGGAUAGGAGCUCCUGCUGCAUGGUGGGGGUUGGAAAGUUUCGGCGGUUGGGGAUGGACUCGCGGCUUAUCAGCUUGUUGGUGGGGUAGUGGCUUACCAAGGCCUUGACGGGUAGCCGGCCUGGGAGGGUGACCGGCCACAUUGGGACUGAGGUACGGCCCAGACGCCUACGGGAGGCAGCAGUGGGGAAUAUUGCACAAUGGGCGGAAGCCUGAUGCAGCAACGCCGCGUGCGGGAUGACGGCCUUCGGGUUGUAAACCGCUUUCGCCUGUGACGAAGCGUGAGUGACGGUAAUGGGUAAAGAAGCACCGGCUAACUACGUG